rnacentral:rRNA from 1 species
GUAGGUGGCAAGCGUUGUCCGGAUUUAUUGGGCGUAAAGCGCGCGCAGGCGGUCCUUUAAGUCUGAUGGGAAAUCUUGCGGCUCAACCGCAAGCGGUCAUUGGAAACUGGGGGACUUGAGUACAGAAGAGGAAAGCGGAAUUCCACGUGUAGCGGUGAAAUGCGUAGAGAUGUGGAGGAACACCAGUGGCGAAGGCGGCUUUCUGGUCUGUAACUGACGCUGAGGCGCGCAAGCGUGGGGAGCAAACAGG